rnacentral:lncRNA from 1 species
CGACUCUAUUUUCACUCUCUUUGUUACAACACAUGAUUCUCCAUUAUGACCUGACAACUAACAAGAGACAUUAAGUGAAACACAUUGACAUGAAUGUCAACUCUGCCAACAAAUAAUUAGUUAUACUGGGGCAAUGAUCAAAUUCACCUCCGGCUCCAAAAACCUAUAAGGCAUAGGGCAAAAUUUAACAAGGAUACUAAAUAUUACAAGCUACAACAGGGUAUCGCUAGUUUCAUCUCGGUCCCAAUAGCCUCCAGCACCCAGCCGAAACAGAUCGAGCCACCAUCUUCUUUAUCUCCGGUGGCUACAGAAUAGCAAAAGGAUAGAGCACUAUUGAUUACAUGGUUGUUUCAGCGAACUGCGACAUGAAAAAUGAUGUUAUUCGCUCAUGCUUCCUACUCUGCCAACUACGACCAUAUCGUACCCCUGAAAUCACUUAAUGUAGUGGAACUCCUUUUCUGUGACAACUUUGCAAGAAGACAAAUAUGUAUUCUUCCUCCUUUUUUGUACUCCACCAUCAUGUGUCACCAUCUUCAAAUCCGAUGAACCUUCUAGUGAUUCUCAUAAUCAUCUGCUGAUAGACACCUCAGUCAUACUACUAAAGAUGUGUGCAUGUCGUUAUAGACAUAUACAUAUCCUCACUUUGGAAUAAGCAUAGAGGUAGACAUCAACACGUUGCAAGGAACAAAGUUUUCUAUCUGAGAGAGAAGCAAACAUAUUUAAGACCGCUCAUAACAAAUGCCAGUAAUUUCCAUGCUUUAAAAUCAACAAUGCGUCAGUGAAUCAUCUAGAAAGUUAUAUGCUCAUUAUAUAGUGUUUCCUACAAAUACACAACAAUUCUUCCAGUAUCAUUGUUAGAGAUGUGCUACUGUUAGUUGACAUAUCAAAUUAAUACUAAGACAUCUAUAAAUCCAAGUUCACAUGAUAGUGUUGCCAGUUUAUAUCCAACAAAUUUUAAAACCACAAUACCACAUACUGAAGAUUAUGUUGUUUAUUUCUUUCACUAUUUUUAUAACAAAUAGUGAUUUAGGAGAGAAAUAAACAAUGUAAUAUUUUGUGGGAACUUUUGCAGUCGACGAAAAGCUUGAUCAUUACAACAUAAUGGUGCUGGAUUGGAAGAAAAAGUUCACUUAAUAGGUCAGAUGCGCCAUGCAUAGGAGUGUCGAGGGCACACCAGAAUCAAUGAAUGGCACGAUGAAAAUAAUUAAACUUGUUUUUUAUUAGUUCUCAUCUACUCAGAAAGGUGUCACAAGGUGUGGUAAAAUGUCAUUCAGUUUCACAAAGGCAUGCAUUCGAGCUAGUGCUGACAAACUUUGCUGCCUUUUUCACACUUGCUUUCCGCAUCUCCACUCUAGGAUCAAAACACAUUCCCAGUAAACAUUUGGAAUUUUAAGUUUGUCCGAGAAGGAGUAAACUCACUAAACUACAAAUACAAGCACAAAGCAUGUCCAUAUCUCUGUACAAAAGACAUAAUGCAGUACAUGUAUCAGUUUGGAUACACAUGCUUCAGUCAACUUGACCAUGACUAACGCCGUGGUCAUUUUAUCCUACAAGCAUGGUCGGAAGUGCACUCUUUUUAAACUAUGUCAGCUCUCGCGGAAAAGGAAAAAUCACUCUGAACUUGUUUUUCCUAGCAUUUUUUCAAAAAAAAAGAGCUGGAUUUCAUCAAUGGUCAUGAUUCUUCUCAGGAUUAUGGGACAUAUUAAACAGACAAGCUUCACAUGGUAAAAAGCUCAUAGAAAAGGGUAUUAACAUUUGUAUGUUUGUGAAAACCAAUUCAGAUUGCUAAUUAUAAUGUGAACCUUUGGUGAAGCAACGUGAUCAGCACUUCAUGAGCUGCAACUAAAUCAUGUAUGGUGUUUUGUGUCCUUCAUAAAUCAGUCUAUAAUUCUGCCCAGUAAAUUUUAACACCACUUGGUAGAUCAUGCAGGAGAAAAAUUGCAAGUGUACAGUAAAGUUAGGCCAUAAUUCUGCCCAGUAAAGUUAGGCCAUAAUUUUGCACAACAGUGCAGUAUUACUAAAGAAUAAGGCACCCCAUAACUAAACAGAAAACACAAAACAAAGCAGAAAGAGACAAGUAAAGAGGCACAUACCUAGCAUAAUGUACUGACAUUGUAGUUACAGAAGCAUAAUUGUAUAAACUUGGGCUUUGGCAAGAUAAUAGCAGGUAUGCCCAUUGAGAAAAACAUGUAGCAAGCUUCCAAUCUACCACCAAGGAUCACGUUUGAUUGGCACAUUAAAGUUCUUUGGAGCUAUACCAAGGAUAAUCACGUCUUUGUCUAGCGUCUACCCAGUUUCAGUAAAUUAAAACAGGUUGAUUGUUACGGUCUUGUAUGUUGUCAC